CCUACGGGGGGCAGCAGUGGGGAAUAUUGGGCAAUGGGCGCAAGCCUGACCCAGCAACGCCGCGUGAAGGAAGAAGGCUUUCGGGUUGUAAACUUCUUUUCGCAGGGACGAAGCAAGUGACGGUACCUGAGGAAUAAGCCACGGCUAACUACGUGCCAGCAGCCGCGGUAAUACGUAGGUGGCAAGCGUUAUCCGGAUUUACUGGGUGUAAAGGGUGUGUAGGCGGGACUGCAAGUCAGAUGUGAAAACCAUGGGCUCAACCUAUGGCCUGCAUUUGAAACUGUAGUUCUUGAGUGCUGGAGAGGCAGACGGAAUGCCUAGUGUAGCGGUGAAAUGCGUAGAUAUUAGGAGGAACACCAGUGGCGAAGGCGACUAUCUGGCACAUAACUGACGCUGAGGAGCGAAAGCGUGGGUAGCAAACAGGAUUAGAUACCCUUGUAGUC
rnacentral:rRNA from 1 species